UACAGAGGUCUCAAGCGUUGUUCGGAUUUAUUGGGCGUAAAGGGCGCGUAGGCGGCGGGGUAAGUCGGGGGUGAAAUCUCAGGGCUCAACCCUGAAACUGCACUUGAUACUGCUCUGCUUGAGGACUGGAGAGGAGACUGGAAUUCACGGUGUAGCAGUGAAAUGCGUAGAUAUCGUGAGGAAGACCAGUGGCGAAGGCGGGUCUCUGGACAGUUCCUGACGCUGAGGCGCGAAGGCCAGGGGAGCAAACGGG
rnacentral:rRNA from 1 species